rnacentral:rRNA from 1 species
AGCACUGUAGGUGCCAGCAGCCGCGGUAAUACGUAGGGUGCAAGCGUUAAUCGGAAUUACUGGGCGUAAAGCGUGCGCAGGCGGUUAUGCAAGACAGAUGUGAAAUCCCCGGGCUCAACCUGGGAACUGCAUUUGUGACUGCAUAGCUAGAGUACGGUAGAGGGGGAUGGAAUUCCGCGUGUAGCAGUGAAAUGCGUAGAUAUGCGGAGGAACACCGAUGGCGAAGGCAAUCCCCUGGACCUGUACUGACGCUCAUGCACGAAAGCGUGGGGAGCAAACAGGAUUAGAUACCCUGGUAGUCCACGCCCUAAACGAUGUCAACUGGUUGUUGGGAGGUUUCUCUCAGUAACGUAGCUAACGCGUGAAGUUGA